UGUUACUCUGUAUGGGCUGAAGCUUUCUGAAGUUGUAUGGUGAUACUCUGUGUUUUGCGGCCCUCUCAUCUGUGACGUGUGCUGUGACGCUUGCUGCUGAAUGGAAACCAUUUCCAAUGAUCUGGGGACAUGAAGGAGAAGAAAACUGAAUGGCUGAAGGUUUAGCACAGGAAAAAAAAAAAAGCCAAAAAAGCCAAAGAUGGAGAGAAAAGGACCAAAAAGCAGAUUACAGUUUUGGAGUCAUCAGUAGGAGAGAACCCAGCAAACUGACAGACCUGAAAUCAUGUCCUUUGAUUGUAAUUGACAGGGAAAGCGUUUAAGGUUUUGUGUUCACACAGACUGGGAUGCUGAUAUUUUUUACAGUGCUGUACCCUACCUAUUGCCAUGAAUAGACUUGGAGAUUCCAGCUUGCACUCAUGAAGGAAAUUCCACUCUCAAGGAGGGAAGACCAUGUUAAGGGGUGGAUUUUAUACUUUGAUCUGAAGAAGCUGGGAUUCCCAGAAGAGCUCAUCUCUUUGAGGAUGGAGACACAUUGUGGGCCAUGGUGUGUGAGCUUCACAGCUGACAGAGUUAUGGGGCACAGCCAUCUUAACCAUUAAUGUAUCUCCACCCACUUCAGUGCCAAAGGAAAAGCAUAAUCUCCCAGUAUGGACAAUGCAGCAUUGCUGACAAAUAAAGCCAUCAUGAUACCUGUCCCCAGCACUAAAACAGCAAAUAAUGAAUGGGCAAAGAAGGAGCAAAUCUGAGCAUGCAUUGAAAUUCUGUGGAACACCACAAUGAUAUUCUUCCAGGAUCCAAUUCCACUUGUGAAAGCAGUCAGACCCCAUUU